GGCCAGUUAGCUUAGCUUGUUUAGAGCGUGGUGCUAAUAACGCCAAGGUCGUGGGUUCAAUCUCCAUACUGGCCA
rnacentral:tRNA from 1 species